CCUGAUUUUCAGACUAAAGCUGCUCCUGAACUGCAUGCCUGACAUCAUCAGAAGUGAUUAGGUGAGCUAAUCACAAUCAUUAAGGAGGAAGAUCAGGGGCAGAGCCAACACAAAUUAAACACAGCCCUGGCUAAUCAGAAUCACCUCAGAUUAAUUGAAACAAUAGAGGGUGGAGAGCCUGAAGAGCAGUACUGCAGUGUGCAGCACUGCCCCAGGAAGCACCUCGAG